rnacentral:misc_RNA from 1 species
AACGCACCUUGCGCUCCAUGGUAUUCCGUGGAGCAUGCCUGUUUGAGUGUCACGUCAACCCUCAUUCAUGUGAUGUUACAGUCGCAUGAAUGGAUUUGGACCGUGUCGUAAUCGACUCGUCCCGAAAUGCAUUAGCUUGCGCUUUUAGAGUGCUGGGCACCGGUGUGAUAAUUAUCUGCGCCAACGCCUUAAGCCUCUUCAGCGGCGCUGCUUACAGCCGUCCUGACGGACAACUAUUUUAACGCUUUGGCCUCAAAUCAGGUAGGACUACCCGCUGAACUUAA